UACGUAGGGGGCAAGCGUUGUCCGGAAUCAUUGGGCGUAAAGCGCGUGUAGGCGGCUCGGUAAGUCCGCUCUGAAAGUCCAGGGCUCAACCCUGGGAUGCGGGUGGAUACUGCCGGGCUCGAGUCCGGAAGAGGCGAGUGGAAUUCCUGGUGUAGCGGUGAAAUGCGCAGAUAUCAGGAAGAACACCCGUGGCUAAGGCGGCUCUCUAGUACGGUACUGACGCUGAGACGCGAAAGCGUGGGGAGCGAACAGG
rnacentral:rRNA from 1 species